UACGGAGGGUGCAAACGUUGCUCGGAAUCAUUGGGCGUAAAGCGCACGUAGGCGGCCUGAUAAGUCGGGUGUGAAAGCCCUGGGCUCAACCCAGGAAGUGCACUCGAAACUGUCAGGCUUGAAUAUGGAAGAGGAUCGCGGAAUUCCCGGUGUAGAGGUGAAAUUCGUAGAUAUCGGGAGGAACACCAGUGGCGAAGGCGGCGAUCUGGGAAGAUACUGACGCUGAGGUGCGAAAGCGUGGGGAGCAAACAGG
rnacentral:rRNA from 1 species